AUAAAUCAUUAAAUUUAAAAGAUUUGGCGGUAUUUUAAAAAAUUAGAGGGGUCUGUGUAUUAAUUGAUAUUCCACGAUAAGAUAAACUUAAUAACUUAUGUAUUGCUGUUUUAAGAUUAUUAUUAAUUAAAUUAUUAGAUAUUAAUUUUAAUUUAAUUCAGGUCAAAAUAUAGUUUAAUUAAGUUAUGGACCACAAUUUUAUUUUGAAAGAGGAUUUAAGAGUAA
rnacentral:rRNA from 2 species